rnacentral:rRNA from 1 species
GACGUAGGGGGCAAGCGUUGUCCGGAAUCAUUGGGCGUAAAGCGCUCGUAGGCGGAUCGUUAAGUCGGGGGUGAAAUCCUGGAGCUCAACUCCAGAACUGCCUUCGAUACUGGCGCUCUUGAGUCCGGAAGAGGUGAGUGGAACUCCGUAGUGUAGAGGUGGAAUUCGUAGAUAUUAGGAAGAACACCAGUGGCGAAGGCGGCUCACUGGUCCGGUACUGACGCUGAGGUGCGAAAGCGUGGGGAGCAAACAGG